GUUCUCUCCAUUUUUACUUUUGAGAACCUUUUAGCACUAUUCAUUUUCUUAUUGGACCGAUUUAAGAACUCUGGAAGCGAGGUUCGAUCUCUGUGUUUGAAGCUGCUUUUUAUCAGCUGGGUGGUUCCAUUUCAGGAUUUUGAAGCUCAAAUUUGCUCGAAGAAAGCAGGAAAUAAUCUGACUGAUAGAGGCAGGAUCCAAACCAUUUUGCAGAGACAUCCUAUCAGCUGCCAGGAGACAUGAGCAUUUUAUGCAAGGAAAGCACAGAGCUGGACUCAUGGAACUUACAUCAAGUUUACCAAGUUUCCCAAGCAAAGGCUGGAAAUAGCUUAUGCUACGAUGACUGCCAAAUCUGAGACUGUUUUUCCCUUAAUUUUAGCUAGGUACUGAAGCAAGUUAGAUGCUGGAACACUACUCUUUUUCUUUAGCCAAAUUGAUAAAUAAAGAAUAUGGAAUUUUCC